UCAGUUUUACCCAGCACUGCCCAAUUAUUUGCACUGUAUUAUCUUUAAAUAACUGUACUGAAGAUUUGAUAAUUGCUUAGCAAUUGCGGUUUACUGGUAUCUUCAUUUCCCCCUUAAUAAAGUACAUAUCCUGUUAAUUUCAGCUUUGUUUGUAUGUGAACCAGCAGCUUUGUACACUAUAUUAAUAAUACUAUAUGCAAAACCCCAACUAUCCAUCAUAUUUUAUUCUAGAAACUUAGACAUCACCUGGGAGCUGACGGUCUCUGAUAAGUCAGGGCAUGAGGACACAUUGGAGCUGAGCUGCUCCCAGUUCUUCGAGACUUCUGUGACUCUGUGCUGGAGUGGUGGAGGCUGCUUGCCUGACUACCAGCAGAUUUCUACACUUCAGCUCCAUGGUGUCAGGAGGAUAGCUCUUAGCUGCCCUGGCCUAAAGAAUCCUGGCAGGAGGUCCCUCAUAGUGAAGUUAGACAUGCAGGCUUUACCUAAAGGUGUGCAAGUCAUUGGUCAGGACAGACUGGUGGAAAUUAAGUUGCUACAGCCUGGCAUCAUCAUGGGUAUCUGGAGGGGCCAGUGCUCUGUUGCCUUUGUCAUGUUCACCCUCCACUUGCACAGGCUGUUGGAAAGAAGCAUCCAGGGAUCUAUUGUAUG